CACCCUUUCCCUACACGAAGCUUGCCCACCAGUGACCUGGGUAGGCCUCGGGGGACCAGGGUGGUGAAGGAUGGCUUCCCCAGGAUAUUCUGCACUUCCGCAGGAGCUGUUACUGGAAGUGGAACCCAGGCGGUGGCUGUAAUAGUUGUGGGUGGCUGCGAGCAAGCCGCGAUAGGGGGUGGCUUCCUUGCUGUCGUUUGUGGGCUGGUGGAAACCUUGGCAGCGACCCCUCCCAGGCUUCGGCAUGUGAUCGUGGGUGGUGAGGAUGGUGAGGAUGGUGAUGGGGGCGCUAGGCCACAGAACCAAUUUGCAAAGGAGACCAGGGAAAACUGCUGCACAGCUGAGAUGCCCACAGGGCUCCGCUUUCUGUUUAAUGCAGACAGAGUUGACUUUAAAAAUUUUUUUUUAAUGCUUAUUUGUUUUUGAGACAGAGACAGAGCACGAGUGGG